rnacentral:rRNA from 1 species
UUCGCCCUUAGAGUUUGAUCCUGGCUCAGGACGAACGCUGGCGGCGUGCCUAACACAUGCAAGUCGAGCGGAGACAUGUUGUGGAAGUUUUCGGAUGGAAGCGAUAUGUUUUAGCGGCGGACGGGUGAGUAACGCGUGAGCAACCUUUCCUUCACAGGGGAAUAACGUACCGAAAGGUACACUAAUACCGCAUAAGGCCACAGCACCGCAUGGUGCAGGGGUGAAAGGAGCAAUCCGGUGAAGGGUGGGCUCGCGUCCGAUUAGCUAGUUGGUGAGGUGACGGCCCACCAAGGCGACGAUCGGUAGCCGACCUGAGAGGGUGAUCGGCCACAUUGGAACUGAGAUACGGUCCAAACUCCUACGGGAGGCAGCAGUGGGGAAUAUUGGGCAAUGGGGGGAACCCUGACCCAGCAACGCCGCGUGAAGGAAGAAGGCCUUCGGGUUGUAAACUUCUAUCCUUGGUGAAGAGGAGAAGACGGUAGCCAAGAAGGAAGCCCCGGCUAACUACGUGCCAGCAGCCGCGGUAAUACGUAGGGGGCAAGCGUUGUCCGGAAUGAUUGGGCGUAAAGGGCGUGUAGGCGGCGAUUUAAGUCUGGAGUGAAAGUCCUGCUUUUAAGGUGGGAAUUGCUUUGGAUACUGGAUGGCUAGAGUGCAGGAGAGGUUAGUGGAAUUCCCAGUGUAGCGGUGAAAUGCGUAGAGAUUGGGAGGAACACCAGUGGCGAAGGCGACUAACUGGACUGUAACUGACGCUGAGGCGCGAAAGUGUGGGGAGCAAACAGGAUUAGAUACCCUGGUAGUCCACACUGUAAACGAUGAAUGCUAGGUGUAGGGGGUAUCGACCCCUUCUGUGCCGGAGUAAACACAAUAAGCAUUCCGCCUGGGGAGUACGGCCGCAAGGUUGAAACUCAAAGGAAUUGACGGGGGCCCGCACAAGCAGUGGAUUAUGUGGUUUAAUUCGAAGCAACGCGAAGAACCUUACCAGGGCUUGACAUCCAACUAACGAAGCAGAGAUGCAUUAGGUGCCCUUCGGGGAAAGUUGAGACAGGUGGUGCAUGGUUGUCGUCAGCUCGUGUCGUGAGAUGUUGGGUUAAGUCCCGCAACGAGCGCAACCCUUAUUGUUAGUUGCUACGCAAGAGCACUCUAACGAGACUGCCGUUGACAAAACGGAGGAAGGUGGGGACGACGUCAAAUCAUCAUGCCCCUUAUGUCCUGGGCUACACACGUAAUACAAUGGCGUUUAACAGAGGGAAGCAAAGCCGCGAGGCGGAGCAAAUCCCCAAAAGGCGUCUCAGUUCGGAUUGCAGGCUGCAACCCGCCUGCAUGAAGUCGGAAUUGCUAGUAAUCGCGGAUCAGCAUGCCGCGGUGAAUACGUUCCCGGGCCUUGCACACACCGCCCGUCA